CGAGGGUAGGCGCAGAGGAAAUC
rnacentral:miRNA from 1 species